GCUGGGCACGGUGGCGCAUGCCUGUAAUCCCAGCUACUCAGGAGGCUGAGACAGGAGGAUUGCUUGAACCCAGGAGGUGGAGGUUGCGGUGAGCCGAGAUCAUGCCAUUGCACUCCAGUCCUGGGUAACAAGAGCAAAAUUCUGUCUCAA
ensembl:misc_RNA Metazoa_SRP Metazoan signal recognition particle RNA